rnacentral:tRNA from 2 species
GCCGGAAUGGCGGAACAGGUAGACGCUGCGGACUUAAAAUCCGCUGAGCUUCUAAGCUCAUGCCGGUUCGACCCCGGCUUCCGGCACCA